UGAGGAAUAUUGGGCAAUGCCCGCAAGGGUGACCCAGCAACGCCGCGUGGAGGAUGAAUGUCGUAAGAUUGUAAACUCCUGUUAGAGGGGAAGAAUAGUACCGGUUGGACCGGUAUAUGACUGUACCCUCAGAGAAAGCCCCGGCUAACUACGUGCCAGCAGCCGCGGUAAUACGUAGGGGGCAAGCGUUGUCCGGAUUUACUGGGUGUAAAGGGCGCGCAGGCGGGAUAAAAAGUCAGUGGUGAAAUCCUACAGCUUAACUGUAGAACUGCCUUUGAUACUUUUAUUCUUGAGUUCGGGAGAGAGAGACGGAAUUCCAGGUGUAGUGGUGAAAUACGUAGAUAUCUGGAAGAACACCAGUUGCGAAGGCGGUCUCUUGGUCCGACACUGACGCUGAGGCGCGAAAGCGUGGGGAGCAUACA
rnacentral:rRNA from 1 species